UACGGAGGAUGCAAGCGUUAUCCGGAAUUAUUGGGCGUAAAGCGUCCGCAGGUGGACAUACAAGUCUGCUGUCAAAGUGCAGAGCUUAACUCUGUAAAGGCGGUGGAAACUGUAGGUCUUGAGUAUGGUAGGGGUAGAGGGAAUUCCCGGUGUAGCGGUGAAAUGCGUAGAUAUUGGGAGGAACACCAGUGGCGAAGGCGGCUCACUGGACCGGUACUGACGCUGAUGCGCGAAAGCGUGGGGAGCAAACGGG
rnacentral:rRNA from 1 species